GCGGGUGUAGUUUAGUGGUAAAACUCUAGCUUCCCAAGCUAGUAUCGCGAGUUCGAUUCUCGUCAUCCGCU
rnacentral:tRNA from 1 species